UGGGGAAUAUUGGACAAUGGGCGAAAGCCUGAUCCAGCCAUGCCGCGUGUGUGAAGAAGGUCUUCGGAUUGUAAAGCACUUUAAGUUGGGAGGAAGGGCAGUAAGCGAAUACCUUGCUGUUUUGACGUUACCGACAGAAUAAGCACCGGCUAACUCUGAGCCAGCAGCCGCGGUAAUACAGAGGGUGCAAGCGUUAAUCGGAAUUACUGUGCGUAAAGCGCGCGUAGGUGGUUCGUUAAGUUGAAUGUGAAAGCCCCGGGCUCAACCUGGGAACCGCAUCCAAAACUGGCGAGCUAGAGGAGGGCAGAGGGUGGUGGAAUUUCCUGUGUAGCGGUGCAAUGCUUAGAUAUAGGAAGGAACACCAGUUGCGAAGGCGACCACCUGGGCUCUAACUGACACUGAAGUGCGAAAGCGUGGGGAGCAAACAGG
rnacentral:rRNA from 1 species